GCCGUUUCACACUUCUCUUCUA
rnacentral:siRNA from 1 species